GAUGAACGCUGGCGGCGUGCCUAAUACAUGCAAGUCGAGCGAACAGAUGAGGAGCUUGCUCCUCUGACGUUAGCGGCGGACGGGUGAGUAACACGUGGAUAACCUACCUAUAAGACUGGGAUAACUUCGGGAAACCGGAGCUAAUACCGGAUAAUAUAUUGAACCGCAUGGUUCAAUAGUGAAAGACGGUUUUGCUGUCACUUAUAGAUGGAUCCGCGCCGCAUUAGCUAGUUGGUAAGGUAACGGCUUACCAAGGCGACGAUGCGUAGCCGACCUGAGAGGGUGAUCGGCCACACUGGAACUGAGACAGGUCCAGACUCCUACGGGAGGCAGCAGUAGGGAAUCUUCCGCAAUGGGCGAAAGCCUGACGGAGCAACGCCGCGUGAGUGAUGAAGGUCUUCGGAUCGUAAAACUCUGUUAUUAGGGAAGAACAAAUGUGUAAGUAACUAUGCACGUCUUGACGGUACCUAAUCAGAAAGCCACGGCUAACUACGUG
rnacentral:rRNA from 1 species